GGAAACCGGUGCUAAUACUGGAUAUGACUCCAACCUGCAUGGGUAUGGGGUGGAAAGAUUUAUCGGUGGAGGAUGGACUCGCGGCCUAUCAGCUUGUUGGUGGGGUAAUGGCCUACCAAGGCGACGACGGGUAGCCGGCCUGAGAGGGUGACCGGCCACACUGGGACUGAGACACGGCCCAGACUCCUACGGGAGGCAGCAGUGGGGAAUAUUGCACAAUGGGCGAAAGCCUGAUGCAGCGACGCCGCGUGAGGGAUGACGGCCUUCGGGUUGUAAACCUCUUUCAGCUCUGACGAAGCCUUCGGGUGACGGUAGGAGCAGAAGAAGCACCGGCUAACUACGUGCCAGCAGCCGCGGUAAUACGUAGGGUGCGAGCGUUGUCCGGAAUUAUUGGGCGUAAAGAGCUUGUAGGCGGUUUGUCGCGUCUGCUGUGAAAGCCCGGGGCUUAACCCCGGGUCUGCAGUGGGUACGGGCAGGCUAGAGUGUGGUAGGGGAGACUGGAAUUCCUGGUGUAGCGGUGGAAU
rnacentral:rRNA from 1 species